UACGAAGGGGGCUAGCGUUGUUCGGAAUUACUGGGCGUAAAGGGCGCGUAGGCGGUCCCUCAAGUCGGGUGUGAAAGCCCCGGGCUCAACCUGGGAAUUGCAUUCGAGACUGAAUAGCUAGGGUGCGGUAGAGGGAAGCGGAAUUUCCGGUGUAGCGGUGAAAUGCGUAGAUAUCGGAAGGAACAUCAGUGGCGAAAGCGGCUUCCUGGACCAGCACCGACGUUCAGGCACGAAAGCGUGGGGAGCAAACAGG
rnacentral:rRNA from 1 species